GGGGAUAGCCCAGAGAAAUUUGGAUUGAUACCCCAUAGCAUUAUCAGAUGGCAUCUGAAGAUAAUUAAAGAUUUAUCGGUUAAGGAUGGGCCAUGCGUGACAUUAGAUAGUUGGUGAGGUAAUGGCUCACCAAGUCAACGAUGUCUAGGGGUUCUGAGAGGAUGAUCCCCCACACUGGUACUGAGAUACGGACCAGACUCCUACGGGAGGCAGCAGUAGGGAAUAUUGGUCAAUGGGCGAGAGCCUGAACCAGCCAUGCCGCGUGCAGGAAGACAGCUUUCUGAGUUGUAAACUGCUUUUAUAUGGGAAGAAAAAGGCCUUGCGAGGCAAAUUGCCGGUACCAUAUGAAUAAGCACUUG
rnacentral:rRNA from 1 species